AUAUAUAAAUUUUAGUUUCAAUUGACGAUGUAAAGAUACUAGACUCAAGGUUAAAGCAGCAGUGAGGCAAGAAGCAGAAACAGUGAAGUGAAGUGCUUGUGAAACAGAGUAAAGCAAAGCAAGUGAUGGUGUUGACACAAAACGGCACAAGGGACUUAUGCUACUUGUAGUUUUCAAUUUGUAUUAGUUAUUUAAGUUCACACGUGAGUGUUGCAUGUGCUAUAUGUAACUGUUCUCCGUGUAAUUAGGGAAUUAGUUUCUGUUUCAGUUAGCUGAUCUGUUAGUAUAUAUAUUGAACCCGUGUACAGAUAAUGAAUCAAUUCAUUUUCCCAGAAUCAGAAUAUAGAAAGUUCCUCCAGAAGUUUCUUUUCUCUAUCUCUUUUCUUAGCUUCCGUAGCUCUCUCUAUUCUCUGUUUUCCAAUCUUACAGACGAGAAGGUCAUGGUUAAGGAAGAUUCUAAAUAUAAGGGCAACUAUUAUAAAAAUGUAAAAGGAAAGCUGUUUGUACAUUUUGCACUAGAGAAUCUAGCUAUAAAAAAGGUUUUGUAGUAGAUUGCUGCAACUAUUUUUAUGUAAUGAUUUUUCUAUUGAAGAGGGUCUUCUUUGUUACAAAAUGUGUUGUUUUAGUACUUUAUCAUUAUUGCUUUAGAUUUGUGUGCUUAUUCAGUAAAAAAAAAAAAAAAAAAAAAAAAAAAAAAAAGCCCAACGUCUAGCUCCUAUAUUAUCUAAGUUGUUGGGUCUUGUUAAAUCCACCCAAAUAAAUAGCCCAAAAAUAUGAAGACCCUUAUAGAUAGCCCAAAGUUUCAUUUCAUCAUUAACGUCUCUCUCUCUGAUCAUCAGUAGGUGGAGAAAUGGAGAUGGAGCAAACGGAGAAGGAGGCGAUAAGAGCGGCUUCGGCUGAGGUUUCUCGUGAAUUCAAAACCCUUAUCAAUGCUGGCGAUUUGGACAUCUCUCUCUCUCUCAGUCUCUCUCUUGGAGCAUGAAAUUAAGGAUUUUGGCUACCUAUCCGGAUGCAUUUCCAGAUGAUUCAACAGGAGAAGUAGUUGACAGGAGACUGGACCUUGAAAUUCCUCAGUAACAUUAGUCAGUCUGUUCCCAAAUUGCAGCAUGUAUCUUGGUACCAACGGUUUGGUGUUGUUGGCACCCGAGAAGCUCAUUGCUUAGAAGCUUGCGGAAGAGGAGGCCAAACAGAAGUUCAAGUGGGAGUCCAAGAAGGAAAAAUACUUGGUAACAAGUCUCAUACUGGACUGUAUUGUUCAAGAGCUACAGCUGCAUUAAGGCUGCACCAAUUAAAUGCUACUGAAUUUAGAGAUACAAUAAUUAUUGAUGUACUGUAAUAGUUAGCUAGUAGAGAUUAGCAAAUAUUAAGGUAGUUGGCAUUUACUAGGAUUACUGUUUUUUCUUGAUCAAAAGAAAUCAUUUUCAGUUCAAGCUUUAGGUAGAGACUUGGCAGUGUAUAAAGAUUGAAGAAUGUCUUGAUUUGGUCCGAUGAAAGUUUUGGUUUUAGCUGAGUGAAUGUAUUUUUGUA